CAAAAGACUGUUCCCAGAUGUUUGGAAAAUAAUUGUUUUUGGCAGAACACUUAGCAAAUGAAGUUUAACCUUGGUUGUGCUCACCACUGAGGAAGUUCAGAAAUUCCCACUUAAACAGUGGAUAUGAAAUCUACCCUGAACUUCAGUUUCAGAUUGCUUACAAGUAUAAGACAAUGACAGAAUCAACAUCACAGCAGUUAAAUCCAUGUUUUCAAAUAGAGGGAUUACUGAAGAGAAAUGUGUGUAAAGUGACUAAAGGAACUGCAAAAAUGACCAUGUAGGAAGCAAGCAGUAAGCCCUCAUCAAACACUAAUGGCAACAAGACCUUGGAGUUCCUAUCUUCUAAAAUUGUGAGCAACAAACUUUCGUGCUUGUAAAUUACUCAGAUUAGGGUAUUUUGUUAUAGCAGGCCAAACAGACUAAGACA